GCACCCAGGUCGGGCGGUGGGGGCGAGCGGAGGGGCUGAGGGGCGGAGAGGCCUGGCGGGCCGCUGCUGCGGGCCAGGGGACGGGGGCGGAGCCGGAGCCGGAGCCGACGGGCGGUGCCCGCACUGGGACCCCGGAAUCCUGCGCGCUGCCCACGAUUCGCUUCUGAGGAACCUAGCAAGAUUGUACAAUGAAUGGUGAUUCUCGUGCUGCGGUGGUGACCUCACCACCCCCGACCACAGCCCCUCACAAGGAGAGGUACUUCGACCGAGUAGAUGAGAACAACCCAGAGUACUUGAGGGAGAGGAACAUGGCACCAGACCUUCGCCAGGACUUCAACAUGAUGGAGCAAAAGAAGAGGGUGUCCAUGAUUCUGCAAAGCCCUGCUUUCUGUGAAGAAUUGGAAUCAAUGAUACAGGAGCAAUUUAAGAAGGGGAAGAACCCCACAGGCCUAUUGGCUUUACAGCAGAUUGCAGAUUUUAUGACCACGAAUGUACCAAAUGUCUACCCAGCAGCUCCGCAAGGAGGGAUGGCUGCCUUAAACAUGAGUCUUGGUAUGGUGACUCCUGUGAACGAUCUUAGAGGAUCUGAUUCUAUUGCGUAUGACAAAGGAGAGAAGUUAUUACGGUGUAAAUUGGCAGCGUUUUAUAGACUAGCAGAUCUCUUUGGGUGGUCUCAGCUUAUCUACAAUCAUAUCACAACCAGAGUGAACUCCGAGCAGGAACACUUCCUCAUUGUCCCUUUUGGGCUUCUUUACAGUGAAGUGACUGCAUCCAGUUUGGUUAAGAUCAAUCUACAAGGAGAUAUAGUAGAUCGUGGAAGCACUAAUCUGGGAGUAAAUCAAGCCGGCUUCACCUUACACUCUGCAAUUUAUGCUGCACGCCCGGACGUGAAGUGCGUUGUGCACAUUCACACCCCAGCAGGGGCUGCGGUCUCUGCAAUGAAAUGUGGCCUCUUGCCAAUCUCCCCGGAGGCGCUUUCCCUUGGAGAAGUGGCUUAUCAUGACUACCAUGGCAUUCUGGUUGAUGAAGAGGAAAAAGUUUUGAUUCAGAAAAAUCUGGGGCCUAAAAGCAAGGUCAGUAGGCAUCUAAUCUGGUAUUUAAAUUACAGCAGAAAGAAGAAUAAAGCAAAGGACCAGUAUUCCCGCCCAGCUCCACAGAGCAUUCAUGCUUCCCCUCAGGUUCUUAUUCUCCGGAACCAUGGGCUCGUGUCAGUUGGAGAGAGCGUUGAGGAGGCCUUCUAUUACAUCCAUAACCUUGUGGUUGCCUGUGAGAUCCAGGUAGGGGACAGCCAUUCCAGUCACUCUACAGUUUAUUUAGAUGUGUCUGGGGUUCACAUCGAUUUUUUUUUUUUGAUACUUAUCGAGUAGGAGAGGAGUCUUUGAGCAAUCUCUUUGCCAAAGAUAAGCUCAUGGAUUUGGGACUUGAUCAGGACAAAUGCUGUUUCACUGAUUGAAGUUGGCAAAGGAUUACUGGGCUUUUCAUUUCUAAUUUUUAAAUUUUCAAAUAUGUCAGUCACUACCAUUUAUGGAGUACUGGUGUGUACAGGCCUGGCAUCAGGUGCUUAGUGUGUGUCAUCACAUGUGUGAUGUCACAUGACCCCCACAGUACUCUUUGAAAAAGCAGGUAUAAAGAGGUAGAGACUCAGAGACUUGCCUGCAGCUUACAGCUGUGAGUUCCCCUCCACUCUGUCAGCCCUUAGUUCACGUUCUCCCCUCUGCUUCUUGACUUAUGUCUGUGGUGUAGUGAGGUCCCAAGUCCUUUGUAGGAUCCUGAAAGGUGCUGUGUUUUCUCAUUUCUCUGCCAACUUUGGUGCCCAAUAUUUUUGUCAUGCUAAAGAAAUACUUCUGAAAGUAACCUUGUGAUCAGUCUGUCACUAUCCAUUCUACAUUUUUUAUUCUUACACUCUAGAGAUUUGGUUUCUUUUGAAACCUACAUUUUUAUUCAAGUCAUCUGACCCUCUUGAUCUCAGUAAGGAACUCAAGCCAUGCUGUGUGUGUUUUGGAAAAGGUUCGAACUCUGGCCAGUGCAGGAGGACCAGACAACUUAGUCCUGCUGAAUCCUGAGAAGUACAAAGCCAAGUCCCGUUCCCCAGGGUCUCCGGUAGGGGAAGGCACUGGAUCGCCUCCCAAGUGGCAGAUUGGUGAGCAGGAAUUUGAAGCCCUCAUGCGGAUGCUCGAUAAUCUGGUAAGAAUGGUGCCACCACUUGAUGAUAAACCUUUUGUUCUAAAAGCAUCAGUGUUGGUGUUCUUAUAGCAAGUGCGAUUGCUGUCUUUUAUGCAGUAUCUGAAUACCUUCACCUUCAAAGUCAUGAAGAAGCACUAGGGUUAACUUCUAAGGUAAAUUACAAUAAAAUGUAGAGGUGAAGGGUUCCUGGUAUUGUUUUAUUUUUUAAAGAUAACCUUGUGUUUGGACUCAGUGGGGACAAGAGCACAGAGAAUGCGUAGGCAGCUGGAUGACCAGCUGUGUCAGCUCAGUCCCCACCAUCCCACAAGCAAGCGAGAGAGGUGGCACUUUUGAAAUCGGUCAGUCAGGUAUUUAGGCUUUUGUCUUAACAGCAAAUCCUGGCUGUCUGGGGCCUGAUGACUGUGUUCCAUGGGUAUCCACUCCCUGUCCACAGUGUGGGAGCCCCUCAGCUGCUUAUUGCAGGGACACAGAGCCCGGCAUGGUCCAGAAGGCGGGCUUAUGGGGCCUGCAGCACACAGGGAAAGUGAGCCCACACUGUGAUAGGAGGGCGGACACACAGGAUGUGUUCUGUGUUACAGGGUUGCCGUGAAGAAUUUCAUUCUUUUGCAAGGACUGGAGAGAAAAUUUUAUGUGGAAGGUAGCCCUUGGAAAUGACCUCAAAGAAUAGGUAGGAUCUUAGCCUGAGUUUGAAAGCCUGGAAAAAAACAGGAUGACAGGAUGAAGAGGCCACAGCACAGCUGCAGACAGUGGGAGUGGGGAGAUGGGAACAUGCACCGUACGGUGCACCUUUCAGGUUCAUCUUGACUUUACCAGGAUCAUUAAAUACUCAGUUCUUAGAGCUGUAUUAGAACACUGCCCUUGGGGUCUCAGUCCC
rnacentral:sRNA from 1 species